GCAUAGGUAGCUCAGAUGGUAGAGCAGAAGGCUCCAUUACCUUUAAGGUCGUAGGUUCGAUUCCUACCCUAUGCC
rnacentral:tRNA from 1 species